rfam:Populus trichocarpa scaffold_627_contig_1, whole genome shotgun sequence.
UCUAGAACUCGAGAUAUGGGCUGAACACUGAACAGUGUCUGGGCUGCAGGACAGAUUCGGUCUUCUUCUUUGUUGCUACAAUUUGGACUUGAAAACGGCCUUGAUAAAUCUUGGACUCCCCAUGAAAGUUGUAGGCCUAUGUCUUAGCUUUCCAUC